UGGCGCUCUCCACCAGCUCCAGCGCCGGCGCCUCAAGCACAGCUCAGCAUCCUGCACUGGACCAGAUGAAAACAGGGUCCUGAUGUAUGGGAUGUCUAUGGUAGGAAGUUCCAAGCAGGGGAGGGUUGGUACUUACAGACUUGCAUCGCGAGUUUGAAACGUUAAAAAUAUUGAGACGGAAGCUCUGAGUUCCUGAACUGGAGAUUCCAGGAUGAACUUGGGCGACUCACUAAGAAGCAACUAUGGGGCAGGCCACCCACCAUGCCCUGCACUUGCAGGUGUGUGUACACAUGCCUGUGAAGGCACACCCAUGGAAAUGGAAAGUGCUGACUUUCUCUGCUACUCACAGUUAACAGCCUCACUUGGAAUUUCUGUCUGCGCAGCUUCCAUUCAAACUCUUCUAACUGCCUGUGGGCUUGCAGAGGCUCCAGGAUACCCACCCACUCUUGCCUGUUCCCUGGCUCUUCUCUUUCAGAAUUCAGACACAAGCUUAGCAGUACUUAGAUCUGAAACCGAAGGUAUCUGAAUGGUCAUUUUGAAGACAUUUUCAAUAUGGCUGCCCUCGUCAAAGCAACAAAAGUGAAGUCAAUAAGAAUGGAGAAAUGGCUCUGCAGGGAAAGGCAGACACCAGGAAGGAGAGACGACUUGACUACCUAAGCAGCAACUUCAAAGACAGCCUCAUUUAUAAGAAAUACCCCUCUCCAGACAAAGCAGA
rnacentral:lncRNA from 1 species